CUGAAAUGUUGUCCUGCUGCCUUAAACGGCCUGGCCCCAGAGUAUUUGUCUGAGAUCUUAACCCUGCGUGAGCACAACCGGUCUUUGCAGUCCUCAAAUCAGCUGGUUUUAGAAGUCCCAAGGUCAA